rfam:Salmo salar isolate Sally breed double haploid chromosome ssa23, whole genome shotgun sequence.
AAUGCACCAAGUUGUAAGUCGCUCUGGAUAAGAGCGUCUGCUAAAUGAUGUAAA